CAGCAAAAGGAGGCUGAAAGCCUCUUUUUUUUCCUCUAAGGCAGAGGAGCCAGCACAGCAUGAUUCGACUUGCGACGGGCAGGAAAGCUGAUCCUGCUGAAUAUUUGCUCGGGGCCUUGACGCACACACAGCUGAAUUUGAUGUUUUCACAUUACAACAGGCAUUGGGACCAGCUAAAGGAGGGGUUGGCUUCUUCCUGGUCGCUUUUCGUGGGCCAGCUCUUACCCUCGCGCUUCGAGGAGGCCGGGGGCUGGCCAGCGUUCACUCGUGGUGGGUGCAGGUCACAGAGACACGAGCUGCGGGCAGCUGGGGGCCACGCAGAUAACGGGAGGCCAAAAAUUACACGCUGAGACGGAAAAGGCAGGGGAGGUGGAAAGCCUUGGAACAGAAGCCCAGCUCUUCCACCUGCCAGCUGCAGGAAGCGCCAGACAGCAGCGCUGCUUUCAUUUAAACGCAGCCAGCUGGAGCCAGACAGAGCGGGGCAACCACACCAAGAGGAAGCUGAAAGGAUUCGGAGUCUUCCAGACCGCUCCACAACCCUGGCACCGUGCCCUGCUGUGCCAAGGUAUCGCGGUGGACUUGGGUCAGCAGCAACCUUCCUCAGCGCUGCGGCUUGUGCUGGGGGGAGGAAUUCAAAGUGAGGGUGAAAAUGUUUCUCUGGUACCUAGGAGCCACCAGGGUGAGGGACCUGCCACCGGUCUUCGCCUCAGCUCCAGCGCUGCUCGCUUACCUCCACGCCUCCUGAACUAUUUUUUGUCUUCCGCGUUGGAAUUUUUACUUUGGAGCAAACACAGGAAAGGAUAAUUUGGUAGAUUUUUAUUGUAAAAAAAAA